rnacentral:RNase_P_RNA from 2 species
CCAGUCGGCCGGACGGCCGCUCCUGCUUCGGCAGGGGAGGAAAGUCCGGGCUCCACGGAAACACGGUGCCGGAUAACGUCCGGCGGGGGCGACCCCAGGGAAAGCGCCACAGAGAUCGAACCGCCUCGUGCUGGAGAGUUUCGGCUUUCCUGGCGAGGUAAGGGUGAAAAGGUGCGGUAAGAGCGCACCGCGGACCCGGCAACGGGGACGGCAUGGCAAGCCCCACCGGGAGCAAAACCGAAUAGGGACGAUGCCUGCCCGCAAGGGCAGGGGGCCGGUUUCCAGGCCCUGUCGUCCGGGUUGGUUGCUCGAGGCGCGCAGCAAUGUGCGUCCCAGAGGAAUGGCCGUCACGUCGGGGGAGAAAUCUCCCGGCCAUCCAGAACCCGGCUUACAGGCCGGCUGGCACC